CUGCCGUCACUCUUCAUUCUUCACCUUUUCCGAGUCUAACUCUUUCUCUUUCUCUUCCAUCUUCAUUCUUUCCAAAUCUGAAAAUCAAUCCCUACUUCUCUUUUUUUGUUCAUCUUCAUCCAUAAUAUCUUUAUCUUCAUCUUCAUAAUGGUUUAGAUAAAGCUAGGUGGAGUUAAGGUUUGUACUGAUGACGAAAAUGAAAGGUUUGUUAGGGUUAUGAUCAAGAUUUACGGGUUUGGUUGAAGGAAAUACACAGUUGGUUACUCAACCAUCAUGUAAGCUAUUCUUUCUUUUGAGUAUUCACAAAGCUUAUGGAUUUGCGCAUUCGAAGGCGGAAUAUGUAUCAGUUUUGCAGUUUCGCAAAGAGUUUUCUUUUCCAUAAGAUCUAAAGGAUUGUGUCAAUAAAGUCACUCCAACAUAGAGUUACUGUCAAUGGAUCUGCAUAUCAUUUAAGUUGUUUGUGUGGAUUAGAACAUGAAGAUUUCAUAAGCAGGUAGAGGAUAAGGUAACAAGGUGGGUGAAAGAAUGAAAUGGGGGACCGCACGCAUUAUCAAGAGGUGAUGGUGUAACUGAUGUCGGCAUGAAAAAAAGAUAAGUAUUAAUUUCACUAAAUAUGACUUUUUGCUGCAAUGAAAUCUUGGAGAACGAUGAAAUCUUCUAAAAUUUCGGUUAGACUUGGUUUCGCGAACUCUUUUCAGUCACGACGGGAAAUCUCGGGGCUCUACGUCGUCCCAACCCCACAAGGGUCUUAAUUUUGAUUCUCUUUUGAUGUUUCAUUUUCAAUGAGAAUGAUUCACAUGACAACUGAAUCUCAAAUAUGCAGAACCACAUUAAUUCAUGUGUUAGAUAUAUCGGUAUCAUUUCUACCAUUUCCAUUUGUUGCUGCAUCUUCUGCGGAAUAAUUGUCUCUUUUUUGGUUUAUAUUUUCACAUUUUCUGACUGGUUCACAUCUUUAAACUUUUUCAAGUAGGUUUGAUUUGAACAAUGUUUACAUUUUCACUUUGUUAAAACUUCACACAAAUUUAUAGCUAAUGUGGUUCCUUUUUUUUUCAUCUUAAGAUUUCUUUGGUUGCUACCGACUCAAAAACACCAUGAUUCCGUGAGCGAUGGAGACAUAUAUGCUGGUGUAUUAUUCUAUGGAAGUAUGAUAAUUUUGUUGAAUGAAUUUGCUGAAAGAAUAUUUCACUUGCUGUAUCUAAAGAGGAAGCCAAAGAAGUUGGAACAUCAAAGAUAAAUGGAAUCCAACAAAGCAGCAGUGAUGCGGCAGUUAUGGUGGAUUCGUCUUGAUAAGAAGAAGAAGGAGCUCCAUUAAUCAAAUAGAAAUGGGACACCGGAUAGAAGAAGACUUCUCAUUUGCAGGUAGAUAUGGUGGAGUUAUCUGAUAAGAUGGAUGUGCCACCAGAAGAGAUUAAGGAGGAAAAACAAAGAUUGUUUGAGGGCAAGGCAUUAGAUGUAACUGAAACAUGUGAUGAUAUCUGGUAACAACCAUGCCUUUUUCCAGUAAUACUUCAAGUUCUCAACAGUCUUCGCAAUUUCUUCAGAAGCAGCUCAGUAUGCAACAACAACCUGCAACAGCAAGAAAUAGGAAGAUAGCAAAGCAUGGUGGGUUAUCUGGGAAGGGAGAGAUCCAAGACUCUCGAAUUCUUGGAAGUAACCAAAUUGGUUCCUGUCAUUCUGUUUGUGUUAUUUCUGUUUUGUACCGAAAAAUAUCAGAAAUUGUCCCAAUUUUAUUUUGUAAAAGAAUCAGUUUCUAUCAACUUCCUAACCACACCUGAGUGUAAACCCGAGACUGCAACUCUGCUGUGUCAUGCAUUAUGGACAGUGCAUCAGCAACUUUGUUCUCCAACCCGAGUUUGUAAACUAUGUCAAAAUGGUCGUAAUCCUUUUUGCAGUCACUGUUUUAAGCUCUUUUGAUGGUUGCUAACUGUAAAUUUCCGUCCCAAUUAAUAUGGUCUCCAAUGUUGUAUUGCCAAUGCUACUGCAAUCUCCAACAUUGUAUUGCCAAUGCUACUGCCAUCAAUUCUUUCUCGAAUGCAGAUUUGGUUAAAUUGCGAUCGCUUAAAGCCUUACUGUAUAAAGCAAUAGGCUAGCCUUGCUGCAAAAGAAUUGGUGUAAGAGGAAUGUUCCAGGCUAUGGAUACUGAUAGAAUUGGUGUAAUAGAGUAAGAAUAAGAGGAUUCCACUGAAGAAGAUGGUUUUGAUUUGAAGAGAGUAAGAAUAAGAGGGUCUGAGUUCCAGCGGAUAGUUCAUAUAGGCCUUUACAAGAACAUUAGGCCAUUGAUUGGUUGUCCCUUUGGUACUGUUUUUCAACUUGACACUUCUUCUGAGGGCCCUUUUCUAUCGCCAUUCCAACC